rnacentral:rRNA from 1 species
AAGACAUUGUGUCUUCGAGUCGUUGAUUUCACACUGCCGAGAAAAGCCUCUAGAUAGAAAAUAGGUGCCCGUACCGCAAACCGACACAGGUAGUCAAGAUGAGAAUUCUAAGGUGAGCGAGCGAACUCUCGUUAAGGAACUCGGCAAAAUGACCCCGUAACUUCGGGAGAAGGGGUGCUCUUUAGGGUUAACGCCCAGAAGAGCCGCAGUGAAUAGGCCCAAGCGACUGUUUAUCAAAAACACAGGUCUCUGCUAAACCGUAAGGUGAUGUAUAGGGGCUGACGCCUGCCCGGUGCUGGAAGGUUAAGAGGAGUGGUUAGCUUCUGCGAAGCUACGAAUCGAAGCCCCAGUAAACGGCGGCCGUAACUAUAACGGUCCUAAGGUAGCGAAAUUCCUUGUCGGGUAAGUUCCGACCCGCACGAAAGGCGUAACGAUUUGGGCACUGUCUCAACGAGAGACUCGGUGAAAUCAUAGUACCUGUGAAGAUGCAGGUUACCCGCGACAGGACGGAAAGACC